rnacentral:tRNA from 1 species
AGGGGUAUAGUUCAAAGGCAGAACGGCGGUCUCCAAAACCGCAAGUGUGGGUUCGAUUCCUACUACCCCUG